AGCGAACGCUGGCGGCAGGCUUAACACAUGCAAGUCGAGCGGGCAUCCUUGUGGUGUCAGCGGCAGACGGGUGAGUAACGCGUGGGAACGUGCCCUUCGGUUCGGAAUAACUCAGGGAAACUUGAGCUAAUACCGGAUACGUGCGAGAGCAGAAAGGUUUAUCUGCCGAAGGAUCGGCCCGCGUCUGAUUAGCUAGUUGGUGAGGUUACGGCUCACCAAGGCGACGAUCAGUAGCUGGUCUGAGAGGAUGAUCAGCCACACUGGGACUGAGACACGGCCCAGACUCCUACGGGAGGCAGCAGUGGAGAAUAUUGGACAAUGGGGGCAACCCUGAUCCAGCCAUGCCGCGUGAGUGAUGACGGCCUUAGGGUUGUAAAGCUCUUUUCUCCGGGACGAUAAUGACGGUACCGGAGGAAUAAGCCCCGGCUAACUUCGUG
rnacentral:rRNA from 1 species